rnacentral:SRP_RNA from 1 species
GCUGGGCAUGGUGGUGCACACCUGUAAUCCCAGCUACUUGGGAGGCUGAGACAGGAGGAUCACUUUAGCCCAGGAGGUCGAGGCUGCAGUGAGCCAUGUUUGUGCCACUUCACUCUAGCCUGGGCAACAGAGCAAGACCCUAUCUCAA